CAGCCGCCGCGGUAAUACAGAGGGUGCAAGCGUUAAUCGGAAUUACUGGGCGUAAAGCGCGCGUAGGUGGUUUGUUAAGUUGGAUGUGAAAUCCCCGGGCUCAACCUGGGAACUGCAUCCAAAACUGGCAAGCUAGAGUAUGGUAGAGGGUGGUGGAAUUUCCUGUGUAGCGGUGAAAUGCGUAGAUAUAGGAAGGAACACCAGUGGCGAAGGCGACCACCUGGACUGAUACUGACACUGAGGUGCGAAAGCGUGGGGAGCAAACAGGAUUAGAUACCCGUGUAGUCCCUGUCUCUUAUAC
rnacentral:rRNA from 1 species